AAACUGCAAUGGGAACUCUACCAGU
rnacentral:misc_RNA from 1 species